rnacentral:lncRNA from 1 species
GCUACCAUCCUCAGUGUUUUAUAUGCCUACUAAAACUGAAAAUAUUAAUUAUGAUUAUAAAAGCUAUCUACUCUGUAUUGACUUUGUUCAAAAUGAGUUAGACCCUUGUUGAGAGAUUUAUCAUGCUCCUAAGAUCAAGACAUUUAUUCAGAAAGAUUCACUCUUCUGAAGUAUUAUUGCAUUAGAGGCAUGGGCUAUGCAAAAAUAAAGAUAUUUCAAGGAAAUAAAAAGGAGCAAGUGCUCGAUAACCUCGCAGAAAAAAUUGACAAGUGUCCGGC